CCUACGGGAGGCUGCAGUGAGGAAUAUUGGUCAAUGGGCGGGAGCCUGAACCAGCCAAGUCGCGUGAAGGAAGAAGGUCCUUAGUCUUGUAAACUUCUUUUGUCGGGGAACAAAGGCGGAGGCGCGUCUCCGCAUGAGUGUACCCGAAGCAAAAGCAUCGGCUAACUCCGUGCCCGCAGCCGCGGUACUACGGAGGAUGCGAGCUUUAUCCGGAUGUCUGUGGUGUCAGGGGUGCGCAGGCGGGAGAUAAAGUCAGCGGUAAAAUGUAGGGGUUCAACCCCGGCCGGCCGUUGAAACUGGUUUUCUAGAGUUGGAGAGAAGUAUGCGGAAUUCGUGGUGUAGCGGUGAAAUGCAUAGAUAUCACGAAGAACUCCGAGUGCGAAGGCAGCAUACCGGCGCCCGACUGACGCUGAGGCACGAAAGCGUGGGGAUCGAACAGGAUUAGAUACCCGGGUAGUC
rnacentral:rRNA from 1 species